rnacentral:rRNA from 1 species
GAUGAACGCUGGCGGCGUGCUUAACACAUGCAAGUCGAACGAUGAAGCUCAGCUUGCUGGGUGGAUUAGUGGCGAACGGGUGAGUAACACGUGAGUAACCUGCCCUUAACUCUGGGAUAAGCCUGGGAAACUAGGUCUAAUACCGGAUAGGAGCGCCUACCGCAUGGUGGGUGUUGGAAAAAUUUAUCGGUUUUGGAUGGACUCGCGGCCUAUCAGCUUGUUGGUGAGGUAAAGGCUCACCAAGGCGACGACGGGUAGCCGGCCUGAGAGGGUGACCGGCCACACUGGGACUGAGACACGGCCCAGACUCCUACGGGAGGCAGCAGUGGGGAAUAUUGCACAAUGGGCGAAAGCCUGAUGCAGCGACGCCGCGUGAGGGAUGACGGCCUUCGGGUUGUAAACCUCUUUCAGUAGGGAAGAAGCGAAAGUGACGGUACCUGCAGAAGAAGCACCGGCUAACUACGUG